AACGAACGCUGGCGGCAUGCCUAACACAUGCAAGUCGAACGAGAUCUUCGGGUCUAGUGGCGCACGGGUGCGUAACGCGUGGGAAUCUGCCCUUUGGUUCGGAAUAACAGUUGGAAACGACUGCUAAUACCGGAUGAUGACGAAAGUCCAAAGAUUUAUCGCCAGAGGAUGAGCCCGCGUAGGAUUAGCUAGUUGGUGUGGUAAAGGCGCACCAAGGCGACGAUCCUUAGCUGGUCUGAGAGGAUGAUCAGCCACACUGGGACUGAGACACAGCCCAGAUUCGUACGGGAGGCAGAAGUGGGGAAUAUUGGACGAUGGGCGAAAGCCUGAUCCAGCAAUGGCGCGAGAGUGAUGAAGGCCUUAGGGUUGUAAAGCUCUUUUACCAGGGAUGAUAAUGACGGUACCUGGAGAAUAAGCUCCGGCUAACUCCGUGCCAGCCGCCGCCGUAA
rnacentral:rRNA from 1 species